ACCCUGACAAGCUUCCCGAGGGUGAAAGAGACCACUUUCCUGCCUCCAGGUGUCUGAAGUGUAAUCUUAGAAAAUACAGAUGGAUGACAUCAUUACAGUGCCACUGAACCAGGACACAAACAGCAACAUCAGUGUAAACACCUGGAGUGCCGCGCCAUCAGGAAAGGGAUGCCAGCUGUGAAGGCGAGGGCCGGGUGGGUGCACGGCUUGCCGGCAGGGCUGCGGGACGGACGCGGUCCGGCGUGCGAUGGGCCACCUCUGCGUGCUGGUGGAGGGCUCUUUGCUGCAGCGUGGAGAGCGAUAGUUGUUCUGUAGCUCUUUCACCCGAGAUUGGGCUUGCCCCUGGACAAAUCAUCCUGCAGUUCAGUGCUGGAGAGAAAAUGCAGUGCAAGGAAACGGGAACAAUGUCUGCGUGCACGCUGAGAAUCUGCAAACAGCUGGGAGACACCAAGCACUUUCCUGUUAACAGGCUGCACUUCCUAAGCGGGGCYGUGUAAACAUGAGCUGUGCAGAGAGGUGGCAGGUCCUUUACUCCGGGGAUGCGGGACCACUUGGGUCUGCUGUGACACGUGUGAUAUUGCAGGCUGAAUGUAGUGAAAUAAAGACAUUYUCAUGUGUCAGAAGACUUUUAGCCUCCUGUAAAUUCAGCAAAGGGGGAAUUGGGAUAGAUUCUGCUCAGAAAUGCCGC
rnacentral:lncRNA from 1 species